GAUGAAGAACGCAGCGAAAUGCGAUAAGUAAUGUGAAUUGCAGAAUUCAGUGAAUCAUCGAAUCUUUGAACGCACAUUGCGCCCGCCAGUAUUCUGGCGGGCAUGCCUGUUCGAGCGUCAUUACAACCCUCAGGCCCCCGGGCCUGGCGUUGGGGAUCGGCGGAAGCCCCCUGCGGGCACAACGCCGUCCCCCAAAUACAGUGGCGGUCCCGCCGCAGCUUCCAUUGCGUAGUAGCUAACACCUCGCAACUGGAGAGCGGCGCGGCCACGCCGUAAAACACCCAACUUCUGAAUGUUGACCUCGAAUCAGGUAGGAAUACCCGCUGAACUUAAGCAUAUCAAUAGCGGAGGA
rnacentral:misc_RNA from 1 species